rnacentral:lncRNA from 1 species
UACUGCAAUGAUCCCGGCAACAAACUGUUGUGGAUGGGAUGAGAGAAGAGGGAUUGAUUCUGGACAUAUGAAGGAGAUGAAAUCACAGGGCUUGGGUGCCCAAGGUGAGAGGAGUGAGAGUGAGUGAAAGGAAGGCUGUAGGAAGAGUCCUGGUUCCUGUUGGUGAUUGACGAUGCAUAAUGGUUUCCUAGCACCAUUGUUUUUUGUCUUCCCAUCAGAUCACCAACACCCCAAGAUCUUAAUUUCCCAAAGCACUAAGCACAGUGUUAAAUAUUCAAUAGGUCCUCAGUGAUCCCCUGUGGCUCAUACACACCGUGGCUUUAAAUUCAACUCAGAAGUAGCUCCAGGGCAGUGCAGUGGCUCAUGCCUAUAAUCCUGGCACUUUGAGAGGCUGGGGUGGGCCAACUGCUUAAGCUCAGGAGUUUGAGACCA